UUAAGUUCAGCGGGUAGUCCUACCUGAUUUGAGAUCAAACGUUCAAAAACUGUCCUCGCUGAGGAGAGACGUUUAUGAGCUCCAGCGAACCUCCAUUGCUGAAGGUUACCUGGUGGGGAACCACAAGCGUAGAUAGUUAUCACACCUGCGAUGCCACCAAACACUGGCAAGCUGAUUCAUUUGGGAGGAGCCGACCGUUG
rnacentral:misc_RNA from 1 species